rnacentral:pre_miRNA from 1 species
ACAAUAACAUUAGGACCGUCGGUCUACUGAGCAAUAUCACCCGCUCGGUGGAAGAUCUUCCCUUUGUCGUUAACA